rnacentral:lncRNA from 1 species
ACGACUUUACUAUCUCUCCAAAGAGAGGAGGUUUACGUUGAUUAAAAAAGGUACUGUUCAAACCAAUCCACAUUCAUCCAUUCAUAUGGGAAAACAAGGUGAGUUCUCUGAAUCCUUUAAGACUCAACCAACCCCUUUGAUCGUUGAUGGAAACAUUGUUGAUGUUUUAGUUUCUAAAACGCAUUCGUACCUUGAUGAGAUUUAUUGUUCUUCUUUGAUUAGUAAUGGAUGACUUGAAAGAUUAUGAGAACCAUUUCUUUCCAUUCCAUCCAAAAACUAUCAACUUUCUUUUAAUUCCUUUAAUUCCUUGUUAGUCGAACCUCUUUUCAACACUUAGCCAAUUUUAAACCUAACUUUCAUUGAUAUUUCCCAUUCUUACCCAACUACAAACAACUUGCUAAUUGGAACGAUACUUUCUCGUCGAUGAUCGGGCAACGCAAAUACGACUCGAAAUCAAACACAAGGUUGGAUCGUAUCAGUUUUCUUCUCAAUUUUCUUCAAAGAGUUGUGGGAAUUAAUUUUUCAUCCUUCAAUUUUCCAAGGAUUAUUUCUUGGAGGGUUGAUUAGAGCCAUUAAUUGAGUUUGUUGAGGUUUAUAUCUCAACAGGUUCAAUUGGACGCUUAUCCAUCUAUCUGUCAUAUCCAUCCGUUUAUUCGAUCCUCCUUCCACUUUUUAUUCUAUCAUUUAUUUAUUUACUUAUUAUUUUGAAUAUUUAUUCUUUAUUCUUAAAUUUCUUAUUUAAUUUAUGUUUUUUUUGUUCGAUUUUUUUUACUGGGUGUUUUAUUUUCUAUUAUUCUAGCCUUAAGUUUUCUUUUGUUUUUAGUUUUUCUUAUUCUAUUAUGCAUUCUAACACAUUUUCACUUCUUGUGUUAAUAGGUACGAAAAGAAUUGCCUCUCCUUUCUUCGUGCAACUUACUUCCUUUGGAGUCGAGUUUUUCUUUGGCUUCUUAGAUCCUUAGGUCAGCUUUGUUGGAGAGUGAUCCCACAUCUUUUUCAAUAUUAUUAAGUUUGAUUACUCGUUAAAAGUUACAAACAAGAAAAUAUUAACUUCUUUUCAUUGCCUUUUAGAGUUAUUUUUUUUAUUGCGAGUGCAUAAUGGUAAGGUUUAAAUUUCUUUGACCAACUUUUCUUGUUUUAGUGUUUUUUAUUUUAGCCUCUAAUAAUGGUACAUACACAUAGUAUGGAAGAGAAGAACAAUAGUAUUUGGAUAGGGCAUAGAUGUCAUAUUUAUAAAAAAAACACCUAUAUAGAUAAGUUUCCAAUGUCGUUCAACCUUUUAUUGUUCAUGGACUUGUCAAAAAAGACAUUGGUACGUAAGACAUAACAAGUUUUGCGAGCUUAAACGACUUAUGGCGGAGCAAACAGAAUGAGCUAGCAAGUGCGUGUGGUGUGACGCGAAGGAUCACAAGGACUCAUAGUGUCCAUCAAAUUCAGUGUCCUUUAUAUUUGAUUUGGUGAAAGGAGUCAUACGAUCCUUGCAAGUCAAGUUAUGUAAGUAUGACACAAAGCCUAUUGAGGAGCUUUCUUGUAGCGACCCAAAAGUCAGUGGUGUCAAAAAAUGCAGUUUCGAGACACCAUUUCCGUAAACAAAUCCCAUAAACAUUUAUGGAGUUAUUAUUUUAGUGAAUUGAAUUUUUUAUAGGUAAAUUUUAUCGAAUUAGAGAUUAAUUAAGGUUUAGAGACUAAAUCAUAAAUUCCAAUCACUAUAGAUUUCUAAUUAAAAAGUAAAGUGAGGACUUAAAUUGCUAUUAACUUAAUUAACUUAAGGCCUAAAAUUGAAAUUAGAGCAUCCUAAUUAACUUAUUAGUGUACAGUAAGAUAUAGGUUAAUUAAAUAAAUUAAAAUAAGAUUUAUAUGUAAAACUUAAAUAAUAAAACAACAUAUUGGAAGGAAAGAGAAAAGCGUUUUGUUCUCAUUUCCUUCAUCAUCGAAUUUGGGAGAAUAAGAAGUUUCAGCCUAGGUUUCUAAUUUUUUUAAGCUUCAAAUUGGUUAGUUUAAUUUAGUCAAUUUCUUGUAAUUUUUAUGUUUUUUAGAUCAUGGAAGCUUAAUCUAGCUAGCCCAUGUGUCUUUCUAAAACUUUUAAAGUUUUAGAAAGUUGCCAUUUUUAUUGUCUUGAAGUUUUAGGCGUUAAAUUGAUAUAUUCUAAGCUUAGAGGUGAAAAAUGACUAAAUUGUGAAGUUAAUUGAUGGUUUUGUACAUUAAGGACUAAAUUGAAUAAAUUGAAUAAAUUGAAAAAUUAACUGUAGAAAUGAGGAAUGGGAGAUCCCUAAUGGUUAACAGUGAAAAUUAAUUUCAAUUUGGAGCUUUAGAUUGAAAGUUAUGUUAGUCUCAGUUUAGGGUCUAAAUUGAAUAAAUUACAAAGUUUAUAUAAAAUGACAAUUGAUUGUGAAAUUGGUUAAUUAUUGAUGGUGUUGUAUGUUUAUGUUAAUCCAUAGCUAAUGUCGAUCCAAAUUAUAUGUUAUACAUUGUUGAGGUAAUUCAUUGAUAAUUAAUUGAACUGAUUUAGUAUAUUUAAAAUUGAAUAUUGAGAUAAGGACUAAAUUGAAUAAAAUACAAAAUUUGUAAUUUAUUUGAUACGUAAUAAUUGAUAUGAAAUAUGGUUGAAACAUGUUAUGUAUGCUAUGAAUUUGUGAAAUGAUGGUGGAUUGUGAAUAUUGGAAUGUUUACUGAACUAUAUGUAAUGAAACAAAAAUUGGUUACCCUAUCAGCUGUUUGGACUAGAGGUGUUCAUGGGCCGGGCGGCCCAGCCCGGCCCGACGGCCCGCCCAAAAUAUGAGAGGGUUUGGGUAAAAAUAUAGGCCUGAAAUAUAGGCUUGGGCAAAAAAUAAGGCCCAUUUAGAAAACGGGCCGGGCCUCAGGCACCACUUUUUUGGCUCGGGCCCGGCCUGGCCCGGCCCGAAUAUAAUAAAUAUAUAUUUUUUAUUUUUAAAAGUAUUUUAAAAUACUUUUUUUAUUUUUAAAAUAUUUUUAAAAUACUUUUUUUAAUUUUCUAAAAUUUUUUUGGUGUUUAUUUAAAAAAUGGGUCGGGUUGGGCCUGGGCCUAGGACUCGGGUUGAAAUUUUUUAUGGGCCCGGUCUGACCCGGCCCAUGAACACCUCUAGUUUGGACUGUGCUGGAUAUAGUUGGCAUGCCAUAAGGUCAGAGUAUUGAGUAAAACCAUCGUUGCCAGAAAAUCUGGCGUGGUAGAUGUUAUACAUCGAGUCAUCGUUUCCAAGCAACCUGGAGUGACAGAUUCGUGUAUCCACAUAGAGUCCGUGUCAAGUUAAUAGUGUUAAAAAUACAUGAUUUGGUUAAAUGAUAAUGAAAUGAAAUGUUUUGGAAAUGUGAAAUUCUAUGUUGUAUGAUUUGGGUUGAAAACGAUACCCGAGGACUAAUGGAUCAAGAUCGAGCUUAUAGACUCAGAGAUUGUUAUUAUGAUACUUGAAAUUGAGUAAAUAUGAAUAUGUACAUAUGAUAAUAAUUUACAAUUAUAAUUAUGACAUGUUGAUGAGUUUAUUUAUAUGGAAGAAGGACAGAAAUGAGAAUGCAAAUAAAUAGGUUAGCAUUGUCAUGUACUUGAGUAGGUAACUGAGAUACGUAUAAGUAUAUUACUUAAAUUUUGACGUAGUUGAGAAGAAUGACAUGAAAUUUUGUAUGAAAUUAACUUGACUUAAUUGUAUGCAUUUGCAUAUUCAAUUUAUGUUAACUUGAAUCAUAGUUUACUAUUGAGAAAUUUUUUCAGCGUAUAGUUGUUUUUCCAUGCACGGGUUAGUAGAUUCCCAAGCAAGCAGGUAGUAGAUCUCAGCAUCUAGAGGACAACUGCCUGACUCAGCAAUGUUUGUAAAUCCCAUUUUGGUUUUAAGUUGGCAUGUACAUAGUCGAGUCAAAUUUUGGAUUGCUUUAAAGUUCUUGAUACUUUUGGAGUUUGGCAUUUUAUGAUAUGUACAUAUGUAUAUGCCUAUAAUGUCUUAUGAAAUCUUACUUAUAUGUUCUUAUUUAUAAAUGGAUGUAAUGUUAAUGGCCUAUGGGGAAAUUUAAUAAUAAUGUGUAAAACUAAUAUGAAAUGCAUAGUGAGAUAGUCUAAAUGGUGCUUAGGUACAUUAUGAUUAAGAUAUUAAAGUGCAUAAUUGAAGUUAGUAAAUGGUAUGCAUCAAUUGCUUAGGAAUUAUUAAGGUGUGAUGUAUUUACUUGAAGAGGCUAUAUGAUUAAGGGUGA